rnacentral:rRNA from 1 species
CGGCGUGCCUAACACAUGCAAGUCGAACGAAGCAAUCGGGAUGAAGUUUUCGGAUGGAUUCCUGGUUGACUGAGUGGCGGACGGGUGAGUAACGCGUGGAUAACCUGCCUCACACUGGGGGAUAACAGUUAGAAAUGGCUGCUAAUACCGCAUAAGCGCACAGUACCGCAUGGUACGGUGUGAAAAACCCAGGUGGUGUGAGAUGGAUCCGCGUCUGAUUAGCCAGUUGGCGGGGUAACGGCCCACCAAAGCGACGAUCAGUAGCCGACCUGAGAGGGUGACCGGCCACAUUGGGACUGAGACACGGCCCAAACUCCUACGGGAGGCAGCAGUGGGGAAUAUUGCACAAUGGGCGGAAGCCUGAUGCAGCGACGCCGCGUGAGUGAAGAAGUAUCUCGGUAUGUAAAGCUCUAUCAGCAGGGAAGAAAAUGACGGUACCUGACUAAGAAGCCCCGGCUAACUACGUGCCAGCAGCCGCGGUAAUACGUAGGGGGCAAGCGUUAUCCGGAUUUACUGGGUGUAAAGGGAGCGUAGACGGCGACGCAAGUCUGGAGUGAAAGCCCGGGGCCCAACCCCGGGACUGCUUUGGAAACUGUGCUGCUGGAGUGCAGGAGAGGUAAGUGGAAUUCCUAGUGUAGCGGUGAAAUGCGUAGAUAUUAGGAGGAACACCAGUGGCGAAGGCGGCUUACUGGAC